rnacentral:rRNA from 1 species
GACAGAGGGUGCAAACGUUGUUCGGAAUUACUGGGCGUAAAGCGCGUGUAGGCGGCUCGGUAAGUCGGGUGUGAAAGCCCUGGGCUCAACCUAGGAAGUGCACUCGAAACUUCCGAGCUGGAGUUCUGGAGAGGAAGGCGGAAUUCUCGGUGUAGAGGUGAAAUUCGUAGAUAUCGAGAGGAACACCGGUGGCGAAGGCGGCCAUCUGGACAGCAACUGACGCUGAGACGCGAAAGCGUGGGGAGCAAACAGG